rnacentral:misc_RNA from 1 species
GAUGAAGAACGCAGCGAAAUGCGAUAAGUAAUGUGAAUUGCAGAAUUCAGUGAAUCAUCGAAUCUUUGAACGCACAUUGCGCCCGCCAGUAUUCUGGCGGGCAUGCCUGUCCGAGCGUCAUUUCAACCAUCAAGCCCCGGGCCUGUGUUGGGGACCUGCGUCCGACGCAGGCCCUGAAAACCAGUGGCGGGCUCGCUGUCCACACCGAGCGUAGUAACUAACCUCGCUAUGGAGUGGCGCGGGCGCCUGCCGUAAAACCCCCAAUUUCACAAGGUUGACCUCGGAUCAGGUAGGAAUACCCGCUGAACUUAAGCAUAUCAAUAAGCGGAGGA